UUUUUUUUUUGUGGUAGGGUAUAAAAAGCCAUAAACGCCUUUCGAUCAAUCUUCUAAAUAGCUUUCUUAAUAGUAUUUAGUAUUUAAUAUGCUCGUCAUAAAUUUCACUCAACGUGAGCUUAAAAUAGCGUAUUCGAUUGCUCUCAUCUAAUGUCUUUCUAUGUUAAUUGAUAAGGUAUUCGGUAUUCACACGCCGGUCCGGCUUUAAGAGAAACUUGACACAGCAUUCGGUCCGUCCACGCGCGCACGGCGCUUGGCCUUUGGCCUCAGCCGCGCCAGAUCUGGUCACAUCAAUUAGUUUUGUCACCCAGGACGAUUGCCGACCAGGUGUUCGAUGGUUGGAGUGGAGUCCGGCCGACAUGCCGCCGACCUCCGCCUGCAUCCUUUCGCAGCCCAUCAACGUCCAGCCUUCUUCGCGAGACAAGCAAGCUCUGAUCGAUUUCGUCCUUCAGCCAUCACAUCGCAUCCUUGGUUUUAGUCUUCGGAUGGGGAUAGGUUUCGGUUUUCAUGCUGCUGUUUGAUUUCUGGAUCUCCCUGUUGCUGAGCACAGCUCUCGGCUUUUUGGUUGUCUUUGUGUUAAAAGGAUAACUUACAGGAGAUCAUGAGGAGGUAUGCCGGUGCCGCAAAUUUCUUGAAGGAAUUGCAGAUGAUGAUGAAAGUCUGAUAAGAGGUGCCGUUUUUAAAUUUUACUUCUUUUGAAAUAAUUUAGCCUAAUUUCACAAAGGUGGGACCUGAGCUUUUGCUAUCUAUCUGUUGGUGUUGCGAAGGAUGAGUUUCAUGUUCUUAGAUUCAAACAAAGAUGAGCCUUUAAGCACUUCUAGUUAUGUCUGUGAUCUGGCACUGCAACAGCCCUUGUACUAACAUUUUGUUGUGUUAUUUUGCAGUUUAGAUGGUGUCCUAUAGAUCGGUGAAUUUAUUGAACUAUAGAAAUCGAUUUGAUGUGAUGAAGAUGCAGAAAACCUUUUAAGUCAAAUAAAGCCAGAGACUCCAACUCGGUCUCCACGAUUGACCCAGUCGGUCCAUGUCAUUGUCAACUGCACGAACGGCCAAGAUCGCUUCAUCGAGCGACCCCGACAGUGUCACUUGUGAUCGGACGGGCAACAUCGGCCGAUGCCCCUCACCGAGCCGACGCGGCCGUUACCGACACGAACCGGCGCUGAAGAAGUGAAUAAAAAGACGCAAUCUCGUCGAAGCAACCGCGAGGCGUCGACCGGGAUCGCACGUGCGUGAGGUCCACGCAUGGCACGGGCGUUGAAGGUUGUGAGACAAGUGGGAGCCACGCACGUGCAAGGAACGCGGGACCUCCCGUGAAAUAAAAUAAACGCGCAACUCCAAAGUCUUCGUACCGGUUGGAGUCCACAUGUCCGCACGAGGGGUGCGGUCCAGCCUGGCCAGAACCCGGAGAAGGGUGUGAUUGGUAAGCCGUUGAGAGUAGUUCCCACGUGGGUGACGGAUAGCUCCCGAGCGUUACUUAUGGGUGUCGGUGUCGGUGUCGGUAGCCUCUGUCGAGGUGGAAGGUUAGUCCGAUCUAAUUCCGAGAUUUGACUGACUACUGCGUGAGAAGUAUUCCUGAAACAAGAGCGAAGGUGCAAACGUCUCUCCUCUUGGAGCAAGGCUUAUUACGUCGAGGGUGCCUCUUCUUGACGAGGUCAAGAUUCCUGUGAUACUGGAGUUGAAGAUUUUGAGAUGGAUUAAUGUGUAAUAGAAAGAUAGAUAAUAUAACCUGAUGCAACAUCAACCCCCUCUUUGGAAUCGAAACGCCCUGUGACCGUAAGCCGUCAUGGAAUAUGACGGAUUCUUGUUCCAUACCAUCGUCAAUCACAUGGGAAGCUAUGGUUAUAGGCAAAAAUAAUUUCCGUAUCACUAGCGAACAUACGUGCGCACGCUACCACCGACCCGUUCUGACUUGGUCUCGCAUCGGUCGAAAUCGAUUAGACAAAUUGGUUCCGUCGAGUCUUUGAUUUGGCAUGAUUUUUUCGUUUCCUUUUGUUAAUUAAUUAACAGAAACUUUAAAUUAUUACCAAUGAGAAAUACAAAGGAAGAGUUCUCUUUCAGGCCAUAGAAAGAUCGAGCCGACAUAUUCCACCAACAAUCAUGGAGU